GAGAUGAGACAGGAAGAGAGGUGCGCUUUCCCUAGGACUGAGAGGACUUGGUGGGUAGUGAAGAGGGGAAGACAAGUGCAGCCGCUUCAAAUCCAUUCCCAUGAGUGACUCUGAGCAGACUUGAGCCUAGAGAAGAUCUGUAGUAGGUUUAGAAGAGACACGUGACUCUUGACUCCGGGUAGUCUGAGUUCAGAUGCCUGUGCGCCAUACUGGGUCUGGGAUUCCACGCAGGCCGCGUGGCUGGAAAGGAUCUCCUGAUCUCUGAGGGUCUUCAGGCUCUGGAGCUCAGUGGGAACUCUUUGGACAGCAGCUCCGGAGUGUGCCACCCAUGGAGUGAUCAGCACCGCGGGCCAAGGAGGAAAGAACCGUGUUGGGGAGUGUGACCCAGACGGGCCAGCUGAUGCAGAGCCCGGUCUGCAAAAGGGGAUGUGAGCCCACGUGCUGGAGCACUGAAGAAGGAGCUCACGUGCUGGAUUCCACAAGUCCCUUGCCCCGAGGGGCGGCGCCUGCGUGAGGCAGCACCUUCAACCCUGCCCUCGCCGGGGGACUCGCGAGUUAGCAGCCGGCCUGUUGAGGUCAGAGGAGGCGGGGUGCGUCCAAGCCUAGCGACUGCGCGUGCUUAAAGCUCUGGAGCAGAGAACGAGCGAGCGGCCUGAGCAACCCCAGCCCGUGACACCACCCGAACCACGCGCCACUACAGCUUUCCCGGCAUGGGGCGGGGGGCAAAUGCGGGGUGCUCUCCAUCCAGAGAGAGCUACGUUGUCCGCGGCUACGUGGACAACAGAGCGACCAUGUUCCCUCUGCAGCUGUGUGUUAUCACCCUGGGACUUAUGUUCUGGAUCUUUGCCAACUCUUAAGUUCUAUCAUGUCCCCUUGGAUGGACCCUCUUCUGAGGCACUCUGACGGCUGCUCCCCUCGUCCCACUUCUGCCAGCCUUAAAGAAGUCACAGGGAGACCAACACCCCAGGCCCCUAAGAGCAGUUUGGACGACAUCUAAGAGGGGAUGAUGGACCAUGAAUGAGCCAAGCCACCCCUCUUCUUGCCACUCUGGACUGAAACAGCUGGACUGACACCUUCAGUGAACUUCUCUGUGUCACAGCUGGGCUGAAGCCUUCGCUGCAUCAGUGAACUCUGUGUCACCAGCUCAGAUCAGCGUGACACCCUCUAGGAGCAGGUCAACUCCUUGACGGACGCGGUACUCUACAACUCAAAAGGACUAGCUCUGACUGCUGCCCUCCUUGAUCAGGGCUGCUACCACGCCAACAAAUGCUGCCUGGUUUGAAAUGGGGCCUAAAGGCACAGGGACCAGACAAAAGUUCCUCCUGGCUUCCCCCCACUCUGUCUCUUCCCCUGCCUCACGCUUUCUCCCUUCUUUAUCUUAAUACCUACAUUUUUACCGUGUCUUUAAAUGUUUUGCUUACUGAACCCACGCAGAAUUUCCCAUUCGAGCUCUCUCAGUGGCUCUCAUCCCACAACAGCUCCAUUUGUUCCUGACACAUCUGAGAAACAACAACAAUUUCUAUUCAGCACCUAAACAACAAUUGUUUAGGUGCUGAAUAGAAAAGGGACCGUGAUCUCUUCCACCACAGGCCAGAUACAGUUCUUCACAUUAACCCUUUAUUGACCCCUCUUCCCGUCCUCUGCUGCUUUGUAGCCCUCUGCUGCUUCUGCUAGCUCAUUUUUCUAGCAGUCCUGGCAAUGGGACCAGUCACUGUCACCCUGGGACCAGCCUCUGCCCACUUUGUCUCACUCUUGUCUCUUCUGCCUAGGCUCCUGCUCCUCCCCCUCCCUCAACCUUCCCAGAAAAUCUCUCAGCUCUACUCUAUAACCAAAUCAUCUGCUUGUGGCCUUCUAAUAAAUAUUUUCCCAGCUCUCCUCAGGAAUGCGGAAUGACAAUGGCCUGAUCCAUCACAGCUAAUCAAGACUCUAGCAUACAACAUGGCCAGAGAGUUUCCCUUUACUGGACCCAGAACUAACCCCUCUGAUAAAGACUCUCCUCCGGGGAAAGAAAAGAAAAAGCUAUGACAUCCUGCCCUGCGUCUUUUUAAUAUCCUCUCAGAAUUGGGACCGAGUUUCCUGCUGAAGGACUACACUUCCCAGCUUUCCUUGUGGACUACAGGAGUCCUCCCUUAUAAGAGGCACAUCCCAUCUUCCCCUGUAGGCAUUUUGGCAUCCACAAUCAAGUCUUUUUCUCUCUACCUUUGGCCCCUCUAUUGUUGCCUUUUAAAAGUUAGCUAAUAUCAACCAUGAAUGACUGCCCUCCCCCCACCCCCACCCCCAGGUCAUUUGCCUGUUACAGUAGUCUUACAGGACUAAGACUACUUAGGAGAGACAUCAACUUGCCAUAAAAAGCUGGGAGUGUCUGAGUUUGUUGAGGCCCACUUAAUGCAAAGCUGCUUCUUAAAUAGAAUCUGAGUUCUAGUUCCAAUCCUUGGUGGAACCCAACAUGCUACUUAUGACUGUCUCCUUUUAAGAGUUAAUUCGGGGAGCUGGGAGAUGGUUCAGUGGUUAAGAGUACUGGCUGAUCUUCUAGAAGACCCAGGUUCAGUUCCCAGCACCCACAUAACAGUUCACAACGGUCUGUAACUCCAGUUCCAGAGGAUCUGAUGCCCUCUCCUCUUCUGGCCUGUGUGGGCACUGCAUGCACGGGGUGCACAGACAUACAUGCAGGCGAAACACCCUACACAUAAAGUAAACAUAAAUAGACUAUUUUUAAAGGUAUCCCAAUAGAGUCUGUCAAUUAUCUGUCCAAGAGUCUGCCUUUGUCCCGCCAAAAACUCUGAGUCACCUAAAGACAUGCUAUUGACAGGGAAGGACUAAUUAUCCCCUUAAUGACAUAUUGUAUUUUCCCUUCCUAGGAGCCUCUCCCUCAAAGCAGCUACUUGCAGGACAUCCAUCAGGCAGGCAGCACAUUGGAGCCACCAUUAUGCACCCUGCCAGCUUUUCUGAAUAUUUUUUUCUUUUUCUGUGUAUACAUGGGGUAUGUGUGUGUGUGUGUGUGUGUGUGUGUGUGUGUGUCUGGAAUUACAGGUGGCCAUCACACCCACUUAGCAUUUACAUAGGUUUCUGAAGAUCCAAACUCAGGUCUUCGCCCUGGCAUAGCAAAUGCAUUGGCCACCGCACCCCUUUUCUUUCUUCUCAAUUCCUUUUCUUUCAGAUCCUGGCUAAAGCCAGGACAUGAGCUCGCACUUGUCCUCGGAAGCUCACCUCUCCCCCAGCUCCCACCAGGCUGCGGCUUUCCAGCCACAGCUCAAAAGACAUGAAUGCAUCUUCUCCAUCUCUCUAUUCCAGAGAGACUGACAGCUUGCUUGAUCUGUUGCUUUGCUAUCAAACUCUAGUCUAACUGUGUUUGAGCUUCCUUCUGAGACCAUUUCUAAAUCCUUUUGUUGUUGAAACAAAGGCCCACCCAGGGAAGAAGCCCACUAUACUCAGUAACAUUGUAGAGAUGGGAUGCUCCUGGUGGGAUGCUGCCCCACAGGCCGGAGUGCACAGCCCAGACCUUCAUCCAACACGCAGACCAAGAAUUACCCAACCAUAGAUGUCAAUGCUGAUGAAGUUGAGAACCAAGGGUACGUCAAACAAAUGUGUGUAAGUGUCUUAGAGUGUCUACAGCUGUGCGGCCUGUGAAUACAAGAACCCUUGCUGUGACCCUUGCUCAUGACAUACCCAAGCCAAGCAGGCCACUACCAGGCAGCUGCCCCCACAGAUCACCACAUGCAAGUUUAUCCCACUGUCUAGCAGGUAGCAGGAGAGUCCGUUUCCUUAACAAAGCAUCUAGACAGCACACUAAGAAGCAAGCUCGUGUGCUUGGUCAGUGUGGGCAAAGCAUGAGCGUUUACCCCCAGUUGGCGAUGAAGUCCCGUUGGGGGGUGGUUUUGUGCACUGUGUAUUCAGAUGCUGAUUUCUGUUCCCAGAGAUCUGGUUACAGUCCAGACUUUGGUCUAACUUGGUAUUUUGUAAAACAAUGUUCUCCAUCGUCUCCUGAUUGGUUAAAUAAAGAGCUGAAUAGCCUAUAGCUGGGCAGGAAGGCAAAAGGUGGCCUUUCUGUGCCUGGCAGAAAAAGAGGGUCUCAGCCGGGCGUGGUGGUGAUCCCGGCCUUUGAUCCCAGCACUCAGGAGGCAGAGGCAGGCAGAUUUCUGAGUUCAAGGCCAGCCUGGUCUACAGUGUGAGUUCCAUGGCCAGCCAGGGCUACACAGAGUAACCCUGUCUGAAAACAAAACAAAACAAAAAAAUAAAAACAGACAAAAACUGUACUUAGAUGCUACCAGAAUGGCUUCAAUCAUGAAAACAGCCAAAAAAGGGAAAAAGAAAGAAAGAAUACAAACACUAGAGAAAGGGAUCUUCAUGCCCUAUUAAUGAUAAAGUAACUAAGUAUGCUAAGUAGUAAGUAUAGAGAAUGCUAUGGAGGGUCCUCAAAAAACUAAAUGUAGAACUACCCUAGGGGGCUGGAGAGAUGGCUCAGUGGUUAAGAGCAGUAACUGCUCUUCCAAAGGUCCUGAGUUCAAAUCCUAGCAACCACAUGAUGGCUCACAACCAUCCGUAAUGAGAUCUGACGCGCUCUUCUAGAGUGUGUGAAGACAGCUACAGUGUACUUGCAUAUAAUAAAUAAAUAAUUCUUAAAAAAAAAAAAAAAGAACUACCCUAGGUUCAGGUAUGGCACUCCUGUGCCCCUGGGUCUAUACUUGAGGGCUGAGUCAGCA